GGGCGUUUAGCUCAGUUGGUUAGAGCGCUUCCUUGACAUGGAAGAGGUCUGGAGUUCGAGUCUCCAAUCGCCCACCA
rnacentral:tRNA from 1 species